UGAACCCUUCCGAGGUUCCCGGUUGGGGA
rnacentral:sRNA from 1 species